UACGGGGGGAGCAAGCGUUGUUCGGAUUUACUGGGCGUAAAGGGCGCGUAGGCGGCCAGCACAAGUCAGUUGUGAAAUCUCCGGGCCUAACUCGGAAAGGUCAACUGAUACUGUGCGGCUAGAGUGCAGAAGGGGCAACUGGAAUUCUCGGUGUAGCGGUGAAAUGCGUAGAUAUCGAGAGGAACACCUGCGGCGAAGGCGGGUUGCUGGGCUGACACUGACGCUGAUGCGCGAAAGCCAGGGGAGCGAACGGG
rnacentral:rRNA from 1 species